UCUAUUAUAAUAAAUGACUUGGGAGAAUAACUAAUCUCCUCUUCUGGACUAACAUAGUCAAGUAUCCUCUCUUUAUUCUUCUCUCCACUACAUCGAAUCACUACUUUCAUGGCCGUUGAAGCCAGACAUAAAGAUCAUAGAUGUCUGGACGCCGAUCGGCACCAUCCCGGCGACUCUGCCUCUCUCCUCGGCACCACGACGGUGCGGUACUCUGAUUAUCUCGUGGGCGGGUACUCUAGGGCGGGGUGGUCUCAUUUUGAUUUGUCAAGAUUUUGACCAUAGAUCCAUCUGCUGACCUUGUGGCGUGGUCUUACAAAUUGGGACGAUUUCUUUUCGGACAUUAAGGUCUUAUUGUCUAAGCUUCCGGAGACAUUUUCAUGUCUUUCGGUUAGAUGAUAAGCUUUUUUGAAUGAAAGAAACUCCUCGGAGUAUUGGCGUAUAUCGAUACGAGCAAGUGUAUUUCUGUCAAAAAAAAAAAAUGACUUGGGAGAAUCUAAUUUAGCGGAAUCAUCGAUAAUAAUGACAUGAAGUAUUGCUGCCAUAUAUUAUAAACACUAAAAGAACAUAUUCUUAAGUAAUGCUAUUUGUGAAGGCUUAAAAUGCUGAAGCAAGAGAAAUAUGUGCAUGUGUUUAAAGUUCUGAUGCAUGUGUAGUAGAUGAUCUAGUGCAUAGUGUAAUGUUGCUAAGGAAUGUGCAAUAUAACUAAGCUGACGAUGCUAUCGUGGUUUGUAGUGUUUGAUUUUGCCUGUUCCUGGACCUCCUCAGUUGACCCUCUGUUUCUUUGAGUUGUCUGUGUUGUCUUUGUUGCUGGUGGAGGCCUGUUCCGUCUGGUGGCUUAGUUUAAGGCGAAACACCGUGUAAUCUUCGUAACCGCAGACAGUGUUAUAUUCAUUAAUCUUGACAUCGAACACGCAACGCUUUCCAAUUAUGUUCCUAAUGACCGGGGGUAUUUCUGCAAUGUUAGUGCCCUGCAAACAGUACAAGAGUUAAUGGCGUCGAAGUUAUAUAUGAAUUGGCCUGUUGCUAAAUUUUGUGUCACCUCUGGAAGCUCGUCGAUAAUUUUGUCCACUGGUAUGCCGACGAUCUGUUCCGCCUCCUUAUUGAAGAGGGUGAAAGUUGUUUGGGCUGUUGAAUCUUCCACUCGGACGUUAAAUUACCGUGGCUUGAAGUCUCCGGCCUCCUUAGAGCAGAAUGUGCAGUAAUACUUCCCCUCAGUAGUCUGUACUUUGCGGGCGCAUCGUGGGCAACAAUUGUAGUACCAUCCCUCGCCUUCCAUCACCGCCACUAUUGUCGCCUCGCAUGUCCGUCGUAGAACCUACAAUUUAAGUAUUUUUUUAUAGCAGUUGCUAGGGGUUAACAGUGAGUUUGUCAGUCCUAAGAAUAUGCACAUUAGGACCUCAUGCUUACCAGGUAGCCAAUUUCUUGUAUUGUUCCUUAUUUGUAGUUGCACAACAAAGAAAAUUUAGCACAAACACGCAUUCAUUAUGUUAACUGAA